GAAAUGCGAUAAGUAAUGUGAAUUGCAGAAUUCAGUGAAUCAUCGAAUCUUUGAACGCACAUUGCGCCCGCCAGUAUUCUGGCGGGCAUGCCUGUUCGAGCGUCAUUUCAACCAUCAAGCCCCCCGGCUUGUGUUGGGGACCUGCGGCUGCGGCAGGCCCUGAAAAGCAGUGGCGGGCUCGCUGUCACACCGAGCGUAGUAGCAUACAUCUCGCUCUGGGCGUGCUGCGGGUUCCGGCCGUUAAACCACCUUCGUAACCCAAGGUUGACCUCGGAUCAGGUAGGAAGACCCGCUGAACUUAAGC
rnacentral:misc_RNA from 1 species